GUUCCCGCCGAGGUUUUCCUGGAAAGAAGGAACACCGUCAGUUAUAUUAAAAGCUCUGUGAUGCAUCUCUGGAUUGGGGUCAAUAUGGCAAAUGGCUGUGGUAUACAAGGUGUUGCUUGGCUUUCUCGCAUUCAUAACAAUAUUUUUUAGCACUUUUUCAAAUGAGCUAAUCACAACAAGGGCAUGUGAAUCAGUACCAGUAGUAUAAGCCUAAAUAUAAUAUCAUUUGCAUGUAUUUUAUUUUAAUCUAGCACCUAAAACCGACACAACCUUUCAUUGAUGAAUAAAUCAGGCAUUUUGAAUACACGAAUACACUAUUUUUAGUAUCUUAUAGAGUCGGGUGAAUAUCUUUUAGGGAACAACAUAAUCGGGUAUAUAUAAUCCUAAUGGUUCCUGUUUGGAAUUGUUAUUGGAAAUGGUCCAUUUAAUCUUAAUGUGAUAAGAAUGAUUUAAUGCGACAUAUGGACUGCAGAAAAUAAAGCAGAAAUUCCAAUAAA
rnacentral:sRNA from 1 species